UACUUGUCUAGAAAUGAAAGCAUCCAUUAUACUGAUUUGGUGAGUUAAACAUGCAAAAGCUUUAGAAGACAGAUGCUUAGCCUCGUGAAGUGUAAAAUUUAACAAGAAACUAUUUAUUAGCAAACACCAUAAAAGAUAACCUCAAUCUUUAUGUGAAGAGAAGAGCAUGGAUUCGACAAUCCAAAAGAAAAGAAACGGAGUAAUAAUUCACAGUAUUCCUUUCAACUCCUG
rnacentral:misc_RNA from 1 species